rnacentral:rRNA from 1 species
UGGGGAAUAUUGCACAAUGGGGGGAACCCUGAUGCAGCGACGCCGCGUGAGUGAAGAAGCAUUUCGGUGCGUAAAGCUCUGUCAGCAGGGAAGAAAACGACGGUACCUGACCAAGAAGCCCCGGCUAACUACGUGCCAGCAGCCGCGGUAAUACGUAGGGGGCAAGCGUUGUCCGGAUUCACUGGGCGUAAAGGGAGCGUAGACGGCAGGGCAAGUCUGGAGUGAAAGCCCGGGGCCCAACCCCGGGACUGCUCUGGAAACUGCAAUGCUGGAGUGCAGGAGAGGUGUGCGGAAUUCCUAGUGUAGCGGUGAAAUGCGUAGAUAUUAGGAGGAACACCAGUGGCGAAGGCGGCACACUGGACUGCAACUGACGUUGAGGCUCGAAGGCGUGGGGAGCAAACAGG